rnacentral:rRNA from 1 species
UACGUAGGGUGCGAGCGUUGUCCGGAAUUAUUGGGCGUAAAGGGCUCGUAGGCGGUUUGUCGCGUCGGCCGUGAAAUCUCCACGCUUAACGUGGAGCGUGCGGUCGAUACGGGCAGACUUGAGUUCGGUAGGGGAGACUGGAAUUCCUGGUGUAGCGGUGAAAUGCGCAGAUAUCAGGAGGAACACCGGUGGCGAAGGCGGGUCUCUGGGCCGAUACUGACGCUGAGGAGCGAAAGCGUGGGGAGCGAACAGG